GUUUCUGUAGGAGAACGCGUACUUCAAAAGUAUUUUAAUAUGGCCUUUUGUUUUUGCUCAGACAUAUUAGCGUAACAACCUUGAUAAACUCAUAAACCUUUAUAAAUAUAUAUAUGCCAUGUGACCCAUCAAUGCCAUAUAAACCUUCUUUCAUAUGCCUAUCUCCGUUACAUAAACGUUUAGGCGGAAAAAAAGUUCAAGAGAAAAAGAUGAUAAUAGUUUAUAAAACGUUUGAAUAUCCAUGCCACAUUAACGUGAAACACCAAUUCUUCAUUUUUGAAAAUUUCAUUUCGAAGUUAAUGUCGUAGAAGCUCCCAAUGUAUCGCUCUAAAAUUGCCUUUUUGCUUUUAGUCUAAUUUCCCGUGCUCUUUACCUCUUGUUGUUUUACUCUUCUGUUUUGUGUUUUGAAGUGGUAAAUUAGUUCUACCGAAAGUAUGUUGGUUUGUAUUUUUUAAGUCAAGUUGGACCAGGGCCUAACUAAUACUCUCCGCACUUUUCUGAUUCUCACAAAUACAAUAUGAGAGACGAAUCACGGUGGGACAUUUCCAACAUAAGUCAAGUCAGGUGGACUCGCUUAGCAAGUGAAGUGAUCCUAGGACGACCAUUUGCUUUGCGGGAGUUGGAGUCAUCUAUGUUGUAUCGUUGUGUAUGCAUACAAAAAUGAUGUAUAUGUAAAUUUGAUUGUCGUAAUUGGACUAUUGUUCCUGGUAAGAGUGCAUGCAUGAGAAAAAUUUGACGGUCGGCAGGUAUUGGGCAUGAAUCCUUUUCGUUUGUCGUCUCAUAUGGAAAUGGAAAUGGAAAAUGACAAGUCCUUUGUAGCGA